UUGGGAAUCUUGCACAAUGGGGGAAACCCUGAUGCAGCGACGCCGCGUGGAGGAUGACGGAUCUAGGUCUGUAAACUCCUUUUGCACGGAAAGACUUAGGACGGUACCGUGCGAAUAAGCACCGGCUAACUACGUGCCAGCAGCCGCGGUAAGACGUAGGGUGCAAGCGUUGUCCGGAUUUACUGGGCGUAAAGAGCGCGUAGGCGGUCUUGUAAGUGUGAAGUGAAAUCUCCAGGGCUCAACCCGGAAACGGCUUCGCAUACUGCAAGACUAGAGGGAUGCAGAGGUUUGUGGAAUUCCUGGUGUAGCGGUGAAAUGCGUUGAUAUCAGGAGGAACACCCAUGGCGAAGGCAGCAAACUGGGCAUCAUCUGACGCUGAGGCGCGAAAGCGUGGGUAGCAAACAGGAUUAGAUACCCGCGUAGUCC
rnacentral:rRNA from 1 species